UUUAUGGGAAUGCAAGCUGACAGUAAUCAAGCUGUUCCUGAUGGAAGAUACAUCUCAAAUAAGCAAAGUGCUCAUGGUAUAAAAUUAUUGAUAUGAACUGUAAAUGAAAACAAAGCUACUUGGUCCGUUAAAAUGUUCUCUUUCAUGCUGAUUUAUUGCAGAAAAAUAAUAAAUUGCAGCCUCUUCUUUUUCCUCUGACAUAUUUGGGAUACUUUACAUGACUUUGAAAUGGCUUAAUUAUUUUACUACCCACUGUAGAAUAUUCUAAGGAGGGGAAGAAAAACAUGUAUUUACUUUCCUGUGGCCAUUUCUUACUGUCUGAUCCAGUGCUUGGGAAUACCAAAGAUAUUGUUUAAUGGGAAAGAAAAAAAUAAAUCAAAGGUAUCAAAAAUUAUAUUAGAAGUUACUUGAUAAGCGGUAAUCAAUCCAUUCACCACGUGGUCUGUAGUAUAAAGACACUGCAAGUUCUCUGAUACCCACAUCUGCUAAUCAAGUUACCAGUAAAGGGGCUGUAGAUAAGGAUGCUCCUGAAAUUGACCAUAAGUUCUAGUUACUAUUUAAAAAGCACUAGAAAGAUGUAGUCUUUUCCACCACAUUCACACAAAGAAGUUUCUUUAUACCCUCACUAUUUCUUUCUUGGGAUAACCUCUUUUGUUCUAUCAGAUUGUACAGAUUGAAUUUGCUGUGAAAUUAUGUUUUCUGCUAGCUAUGAAAGAACAAGAAUUUCAGUAUACCACUGACAAAGCCAUCAUAUUCUUUUAUUUAUUAUGUAUAAAGCAUCUAUUAUGAUUUAGACACUUACAAAAGCUAGCAUUUAUUAAAACAUUUCAUAUAUUUAAAUAUGUUUGGUUUCAAAGAUAAACUAUAUUAUAUCUUGUUUGUUUGAAUAAAAUGUUUGUCUCACUUUUCAGCACACCAGAUGCAUUUCCUUGUUUGACUUAAACAAAAACGGUCAUGGGUUUGAUUUUAUAUGGAGUUAAACAUUUAGUAAAAUAGCUGUUUUAUAUGAAACGCUGAACACAAAUAUCUGCAAACAAAUGUGAAUUUGGUAUUACCAAUGAAGAAUAUACCCUAAGU
rnacentral:lncRNA from 1 species